GCCGGGCGCGGUGGCGCGUGCCUGUAAUCCAAGCUACUGGGAGGCUGAGGCUGGCGGAUCGUUUGAGCUCAGGGGUUCUGGGCUGCAGUGGGCUAUGCCGAUCGGGUGUCCGCACUAAGUUCGGUAUCGAUAUGGUGCUCCUGAGGGAGCUCGGGACCACCAGGUCGCCUAAGGAGGGGUGAACCGGCCCAGGUCGGGAACGGAGCAGGUCAAAGCCCCCGUGCCGAUCAGUAGUGGGAUCGCGCCUGUGAAUAGACACUGCCGUGCAGCCUGAGUAAUACAGCGGGACUCAGUCUUU
ensembl:misc_RNA Metazoa_SRP Metazoan signal recognition particle RNA